rnacentral:rRNA from 1 species
AUUGAACGCUGGCGGCAUGCCUUACACAUGCAAGUCGAACGGUAACAGGUCUUCGGAUGCUGACGAGUGGCGAACGGGUGAGUAAUACAUCGGAACGUGCCCGAUCGUGGGGGAUAACGAAGCGAAAGCUUUGCUAAUACCGUAUACGAUCUACGGAUGAAAGCAGGGGACCGCAAGGCCUUGCGCGAACGGAGCGGCCGAUGGCAGAUUAGGUAGGUGGUGGGAUAAAAGCUUACCAAGCCGACGAUCUGUAGCUGGUCUGAGAGGACGACCCGCCACACUGGGACUGAGACAGGGCCCAGACUCCUACGGGAGGCAGCAGUGGGGAAUUUUGGACAAUGGGCGAAAGCCUGAUCCAGCCAUGCCGCGUGCAGGAUGAAGGCCUUCGGGUUGUAAACUGCUUUUGUACGGAACGAAAAGACUCUGGUUAAUACCUGGGGUCCAUGACGGUACCGUAAGAAUAAGCACCGGCUAACUACGUGCCAGCCGCCGCAGUAA